rnacentral:rRNA from 1 species
UUCCGGAAUUGAGUGGCAAACGGGUGAGUAACACGUAACAACCCGCCUUCAGGAUGGGGACAACAGACGGAAACGACUGCUAAUACCGAAUAAGUUCCAAGAGCCGCAUGGCCCAUGGAAGAAAAGGUGGCCUCUACCUGUAAGCUAUCGCCUGAAGAGGGGUUUGCGUCUGAUUAGCUGGUUGGAGGGGUAACGGCCCACCAAGGCGACGAUCAGUAGCCGGUCUGAGAGGAUGAACGGCCACACUGGAACUGAGACACGGUCCAGACUCCUACGGGAGGCAGCAGUGGGGAAUCUUCCGCAAUGGGCGAAAGCCUGACGGAGCAACGCCGCGUGAGUGAUGACGGCCUUCGGGUUGUAAAACUCUGUGAUCCGGGACGAAAAGGCAGAGUGCGAAGAACAAACUGCAUUGACGGUACCGGAAAAGCAAGCCACGGCUAACUACGUG